rnacentral:rRNA from 1 species
GUAGGUGGCAAGCGUUGUCCGGGAUUAUUGGGCGUAAAGCGCGCGCAGGCGGUUCUUUAAGUCUGAUGUGAAAGCCCACCGGCUCAACCGUGGAGGGUCAUUGGAAACUGGAGAACUUGAGUACAGAAGAGGAAAGCGGAAUUCCACGUGUAGCGGUGAAAUGCGUAGAGAUGUGGAGGAACACCAGUGGCGAAGGCGGCUUUCUGGUCUGUAACUGACGCUGAGGCGCGAAAGCGUGGGGAGCAAACAGGGAUUAGAUACCCUGGUAGUCCACGCCGUAAACGAUGAGUGCUAAGUGUUAGGGGGGGUUUCCGCCCCCCUUAGUGCUGCAGCUAACGCAUUAAGCACUCCGCCUGGGGAGUACGGCCGCAAGGCUG